rnacentral:rRNA from 1 species
CCUACGGGGAGCAGCAGUGGGGAAUAUUGGGCCAUGGGCGCAAGCCUGACCCAGCAACGCCGCGUGAAGGAAGAAGGCUUUCGGGUUGUAAACUUCUUUUCUCAGGGACGAAGAAAGUGACGGUACCUGAGGAAUAAGCCACGGCUAACUACGUGCCAGCAGCCGCGGGAAUACGUAGGUGGCAAGCGUUAUCCGGAUUUACUGGGUGUAAAGGGCGUGUAGGCGGGAAAGCAAGUCAGAUGUGAAAACCAUGGGCUCAACCUGUGGCCUGCAUUUGAAACUGUUUUUCUUGAGUACUGGAGAGGCAGACGGAAUUCCUAGUGUAGCGGUGAAAUGCGUAGAUAGUAGGAGGAACACCAGUGGCGAAGGCGGUCUGCUGGACAGCAACUGACGCUGAGGCGCGAAAGCGUGGGGAGCAAACAGGAUUAGAUACCCGUGUAGUC